UGGAAACUNUCUGACUUGAGUGCAGAAGGGGAGAGUGGAAUUCCAUGUGUAGCGGUGAAAUGCGUAGAUAUAUGGAGGAACACCAGUGGCGAAAGCGGCUNUCUGGUCUGUCACUGACGCUGAGGCUCGAAAGCGUGGGUAGCGAACAGGAUUAGAUACCCUGGUAGUNCACGCCGUAAACGAUGAGUGCUAGGUGUUAGGCCCUUUCCGGGGCUUAGUGCCGGAGCUAACGCAAUAAGCACUCCGCCUGGGGAGUACGACCGCAAGGUUGAAACUCAAAGGAAUUGACGGGGGCCCGCACAAGCGGUGGAGCAUGUGGUUUAAUUCGAAGCAACGCGAAGAACCUUACCAGGUCUUGACAUCCCGAUGCUAUUCUUAGAGAUAGGAAGUUACUUCGGUACAUCGGAGACAGGUGGUGCAUGGUUGUCGUCAGCUCGUGUCGUGAGAUGUUGGGUUAAGUCCCGCAACGAGCGCAACCCUUAUUGUUAGUUGCCAUCAUUAAGUUGGGCACUCUAGCGAGACUGCCGGUAAUAAACCGGAGGAAGGUGGGGAUGACGUCAAAUCAUCAUGCCCCUUAUGACCUGGGCUACACACGUGCUACAAUGGUCGGUACAACGAGUUGCGAGCCGGUGACGGCAAGCUAAUCUCUGAAAGCCGAUCUCAGUUCGGAUUGGAGGCUGCAACUCGCCUCCAUGAAGUCGGAAUCGCUAGUAAUCGCGGAUCAGCACGCCGCGGUGAAUACGUUCCCGGGCCUUGUACACACCGCCCGUCACACCACGAGAGUUUGUAACACCCGAAGUCGGUGAGGUANCCUUUUAGGG
rnacentral:rRNA from 1 species